GUUUUAUCAAGGUAAACAGCAACAGCCGUGCUCACAAAUGUCUGGAUACAAUCAGCAAUCAUUAGUUUACAUCUAUCAGAACAAACCACAUCUACCCAUCUAGGCACUUCUGAUGAAUUCGACUUCAUUAAUGAGACCUCAGAUUGAUAAUUCGCAUUCAACCCCUCAUCCGACCCACUGUUCAGAUUGAAACCCAAAACCAAGUUCCUAGCAAAACUACCAACAACAACAGAAACAAACCCAGUCCCAACAGUACUCAUCAUUCUAUCCAUAACCUUAUCAACGAUACUUGAACUACCCACCUCCUCAAUCUCCCCCUUACUUUCACCCCCACGUCCCCUUAAA
rnacentral:misc_RNA from 1 species